AUAACCUGGAGGAAGGUGGGGAUGACGUCAAAUCAUCAUGCCCCUUAUGCUUAGGGCUACACACGUGCUACAAUGGGUAGUACAGAGGGUUGCCAAGCCGUAAGGUGGAGCUAAUCCCUUAAAGCUACUCUCAGUUCGGAUUGUAGGCUGAAACUCGCCUACAUGAAGCUGGAGUUACUAGUAAUCGCAGAUCAGAAUGCUGCGGUGAAUGCGUUCCCGGGUCUUGUACACACCGCCCGUCACACCACGGGAGUUGGAGACGCCCAAAGCCGAUUAUCUAACCUUUUGGAAGAAGUCGUCGAAGGGGGAAUCAAUAACUGGGGUGAAGUCGUAACAAGGUAGCCGUAUCGGAAGGUGCGGCUGGAUCACCUCCUUUCUAAGGAGA
rnacentral:rRNA from 1 species